ACUUGGGUUGAGUUUCUUUACUCUUCUCUUGAGUUUCCUCACGGUUUUGUGCAAUGUUGGGUCACCUUGGUUGACUCUGCCCUAAGUUAUUGGGCUGGCCUUUGGGGCCCCUAGUAUGAUUUAUCAUACUAACCCCACAGGUUAAUUUCUACUAUGUCUAUGAAUUGAUGUAUGAAAAAAGUUAUUUGUUAACUUGAAGGCUUUUGCUGUUAAAAGUGAGUCUUUAAAAACAACUCUUGGCAAUGGAUCUCUUGGUUCUCGCAUCGAUGAAGAGCGUAGCAAAGUGCGAUAAUUAUUGCGACUUGCAUUCAUAGUGAAUCAUCGAGUUCUUGAACGCAUCUUGCGCCUACUAGUCAAUCUACUAGGCACAGUUGUUUCAGUAUCUGCAUCCACCAAUCAACACGACUUGCUUGUGUUGGAACUGGGCUUACUUUUGAUGGCAUUUAGUUGCUGUCAUGGCCUUAUAUGUAUUUAGUCCUAGGUGUUAACUUGUUAAUGCCGGAUGGAGACUCUAGAGUGCCUUAGAAGCAGCUUGGUUAGUGAGUUCAUAAUUCCAAGUGUUAGUCUUUUAUUGAACUGGGUUUCUAGUCUAUGGGACAUGGAGUCGUAAGACUCUUAAACAACAAACUCACAUUUAGAUCUGAAAUCAACUGAGACCACCCGCUGAACUUAAGCAU
rnacentral:sRNA from 1 species